rnacentral:rRNA from 1 species
CCUACGGGAGGCAGCAGUGAGGAAUAUUGGUCAAUGGCCGGAAGGCUGAACCAGCCAUGCCGCGUGAAGGGCAGAGCCCUAGGGGCGUUAAACUUCUUGUGUGGGGGAGCAAGAAUGGUCACGUGGGGCCAGACGAGAGUACCGUACGAAUAAGCAGCGGCUAACUCCGGGCCAGCAGCCGCGGUAAUACGGUGGAUGCAAGCGUUAGCCGGAUUUCUUGGGUUUAAAGGGUGCGUAGGCUGUGAGGUAAGUCAGCGGUGAAAUGCCCCCGCUCAACGGGGUGAAGUGCCAUUGAUACUGCCUUGCUGGACUGCGGAUGCCUUGGGCGUCAUGUGUGUUGUAGCGG